rnacentral:rRNA from 1 species
UCGAGAAUCUUCCGCAAUGGGCGAAAGCCUGACGGAGCGACGCCGCGUGUAGGAUGAAGGCCCUCGGGUUGUAAACUACUGUCACGGGUUAUGAAUGUACAUAUGUUAACAGCGUGUGUAUUGACGUAAGCCCGAAAGGAAGCACCGGCUAACUCUGUGCCAGCAGCCGCGGUAAUACAGAGGGUGCAAACGUUGUUCGGAAUUACUGGGCAUAAAGCGCGCGUAGGCGGCGACGUAAGUGUAGGGUGAA